rnacentral:rRNA from 1 species
UACGUAGGUGACCAGCGUUGUCCGGAUUUACUGGGCGUAAAGAGCGCGCAGGCGGUCGUUCAAGUCGAGUGUGAAAGCCCCCGGCUCAACUGGGGAGGGUCAUUCGAUACUGAUCGACUCGAAGGCAGGAGAGGGAAGUGGAAUUCCCGGUGUAGUGGUGAAAUGCGUAGAUAUCGGGAGGAACACCAGUGGCGAAGGCGACUUCCUGGCCUGUUCUUGACGCUGAGGCGCGAAAGCUAGGGGAGCAA